GUCAGGUUGGCCGAGCGGUCUAAGGCGCCAGAUUUAAGCUCUGGUUCCCCUAGGGGAGCGUGGGUUCGAAUCCCACAUCUGACA
rfam:Oryctes borbonicus contig22021, whole genome shotgun sequence.